rnacentral:rRNA from 1 species
AUUAGAGUUUGAUCAUGGCUCAGAUUGAACGCUGGCGGCAGGCCUAACACAUGCAAGUCGAGCGGUAGCACAGAGAGCUUGCUCUCGGGUGACGAGCGGCGGACGGGUGAGUAAUGUCUGGGAAACUGCCUGAUGGAGGGGGAUAACUACUGGAAACGGUAGCUAAUACCGCAUAACGUCGCAAGACCAAAGUGGGGGACCUUCGGGCCUCAUGCCAUCAGAUGUGCCCAGAUGGGAUUAGCUGGUAGGUGGGGUAACGGCUCACCUAGGCGACGAUCCCUAGCUGGUCUGAGAGGAUGACCAGCCACACUGGAGCUGAGACACGGUCCAGACUCCUACGGGAGGCAGCAGUGGGGAAUAUUGCACAAUGGGCGCAAGCCUGAUGCAGCCAUGCCGCGUGUAUGAAGAAGGCCUUCGGGUUGUAAAGUACUUUCAGCGGGGAGGAAGGUGUUGUGGUUAAUAACCACAGCAAUUGACGUUACCCGCAGAAGAAGCACCGGCUAACUCCGUGCCAGCAGCCGCGGUAAUACGGAGGGUGCAAGCGUUAAUCGGAAUUACUGGGCGUAAAGCGCACGCAGGCGGUCUGUCAAGUCGGAUGUGAAAUCCCCGGGCUCAACCUGGGAACUGCAUUCGAAACUGGCAGGCUUGAGUCUUGUAGAGGGGGGUAGAAUUCCAGGUGUAGCGGUGAAAUGCGUAGAGAUCUGGAGGAAUACCGGUGGCGAAGGCGGCCCCCUGGACAAAGACUGACGCUCAGGUGCGAAAGCGUGGGGAGCAAACAGGAUUAGAUACCCUGGUAGUCCACGCUGUAAACGAUGUCGAUUUGGAGGUUGUGCCCUUGAGGCGUGGCUUCCGGAGCUAACGCGUUAAAUCGACCGCCUGGGGAGUACGGCCGCAAGGUUAAAACUCAAAUGAAUUGACGGGGGCCCGCACAAGCGGUGGAGCAUGUGGUUUAAUUCGAUGCAGCGCGAAGAACCUUACCUGGUCUUGACAUCCACAGAACUUUCCAGAGAUGGAUUGGUGCCUUCGGGAACUGUGAGACAGGUGCUGCAUGGCUGUCGUCAGCUCGUGUUGUGAAAUGUUGGGUUAAGUCCCGCAACGAGCGCAACCCUUAUCCUUUGUUGCCAGCGGUUAGGCCGGGAACUCAAAGGAGACUGCCAGUGAUAAACUGGAGGAAGGUGGGGAUGACGUCAAGUCAUCAUGGCCCUUACGAGUAGGGCUACACACGUGCUACAAUGGCAUAUACAAAGAGAAGCGACCUCGCGAGAGCAAGCGGACCUCAUAAAGUAUGUCGUAGUCCGGAUUGGAGUCUGCAACUCGACUCCAUGAAGUCGGAAUCGCUAGUAAUCGUGGAUCAGAAUGCCACGGUGAAUACGUUCCCGGGCCUUGUACACACCGCCCGUCACACCAUGGGAGUGGGUUGCAAAAGAAGUAGGUAGCUUAACCUUCGGGAGGGCGCUUACCACUUUGUGAUUCAUGACUGGGGUGAAGUCGUAACAAGGUAACCGUAGAAUC